rnacentral:tRNA from 1 species
GCCGAAAUAGCUCAGUUGGAGAGCGUUAGACCGAAAGAUCUAUAGGUCCCUGUGGUUCAAUCCGGGUUUUGGCA